rnacentral:rRNA from 1 species
UUUCUUUGUCUUCGAAGCUCAUGGGGAUAGUUUCAGCGAUGUGUGCCACCUUUAGAGAACCAGAGAGAGGGCUGCGCUCUCCGCCAAAGGUCCGCACGACGGAGGCGACCAGAGGGAGCGGAGGCCAUUCGGCAGCCCGAGACCCUCCACACGCCCUGUCACAUGCUGGCGCUGCGCCAACAUCUAUUACAACAAAAUCCUAAAAUAAGACCGUGACCGCCCGUCCGUCCCCGCUACAGUUGCGACACCCUAUUCCAAGGGGGACCGAGGAAAGGACAGAGCCGCCACGAGGGAGGCGGCCACCGUGACACCCCAAUCCCUCCAACCAGAGAGAGAAUAGGCCGCUCCAAACCAGCCACUACCCCCACGUGUUGUCAUGUCUUCAACCCUAAACACCUCUCCCUAAGGGUCUAGGCCAGCGGCGCCUGCCGGCUGUCGACGCGUGACAACGUCCGCUUCACCAAACUCAACGCCGAGGUGAGGCAGCAUCCGACGGCGACCAGUUCCCUAGUGACUCAGAUGGGGUCCGGCUACGUGGCCUUGGGAGGGACCAAGGCAGAAAACCCCGCCCUGAAUAUACGCCGAGUGUUUCGGUACCUAGCCGCUACGACGAGGAGUACGGGCAACAGAACACCUACUGCUGAUCGUGGCCGCUCACGUCUCUAGUCGCACGGAUCCACUUAUUCCUUCUACUUGACCCGACAUUCAAUGAAACAAAAGUUACAGCCGCAAUAAGGGAAAUCACAACAGAGACGGAGAGACCAAGAGUUGGAGGUUGCUGUACGGGAAAAAAACACGACCGGUACCUCCGAUCGUCGCCGUCCUGACGGUACUGAUCCGGCGCGUUAUAAAGACUGUCACAACUCGAUGAGCAAGGGCUGUCGAGGCCACGGUUCGACGGUUAUCUUCGGCUCGUCCAUACACACACUACCUAGAAAAUUAAAAAUCAAACGAAGGACAAGCUAAUCCACGUAUAAAGCGUUCUAUUACAACAAGCCUUCCCCAGCGACUGCUCGUUCUCUUUAUUCAUGACUUCGUACGAAGUGACUACUGAUGACUAGAUCUUAACAGACAACGACUUUAUUCAGGACCUCGCCACCUCGCCCGACUUGUUAAAGGACAACUAAAAUGACUUACCUAACAGGGACAUUAAACUGGUUUGCAGUACAGUGGCACGGUGACUUCAAAAACGUGCCUUAAGAACAGAAAAACCCACCACGGUUCGACAGAAAAACAACUUGUUACGGUGUUAACGUAUCAACAUUCAAUAAAUCCUAACAGAGAUAACGUAUGCUGGACCUCAAUGUUCUCCAGGUCAUGAUUAAAACACAUACAUACAUGUACACGUGAGUGGGUAAAAGAUAUGUGUACUAAGGUUUCGUAAAAAUGACAUGUAAAACAAAGAAACGAGCCAUGUUUUACAUAACGUUCACAACAAGUAAAAAAGGGGAAGACAUUUAUAUGAUCUCUGGGAGAUUCCCGAGUCAAAAGAAGCGCAACAGACUUAUAUGGGUCUAAAUAAAAAACACACGCAUAAAUUGUUUCGUAAAUCAAUUG